GGUUAAGCGACUAAGCGUACACGGUGGAUGCCCUGGCAGUCAGAGGCGAUGAAGGACGUGCUAAUCUGCGAUAAGCGUCGGUAAGGUGAUAUGAACCGUUAUAACCGGCGAUUUCCGAAUGGGGAAACCCAGUGUGUUUCGACACACUAUCAUUAACUGAAUCCAUAGGUUAAUGAGGCGAACCGGGGGAACUGAAACAUCUAAGUACCCCGAGGAAAAGAAAUCAACCGAGAUUCCCCCAGUAGCGGCGAGCGAACGGGGAGCAGCCCAGAGCCUGAAUCAGUGUGUGUGUUAGUGGAAGCGUCUGGAAAGGCGCGCGAUACAGGGUGACAGCCCCGUACACAAAAAUGCACAUGCUGUGAGCUCGAUGAGUAGGGCGGGACACGUGGUAUCCUGUCUGAAUAUGGGGGGACCAUCCUCCAAGGCUAAAUACUCCUGACUGACCGAUAGUGAACCAGUACCGUGAGGGAAAGGCGAAAAGAACCCCGGCGAGGGGAGUGAAAAAGAACCUGAAACCGUGUACGUACAAGCAGUGGGAGCACGCUUAGGCGUGUGACUGCGUACCUUUUGUAUAAUGGGUCAGCGACUUAUAUUCUGUAGCAAGGUUAACCGAAUAGGGGAGCCGAAGGGAAACCGAGUCUUAACUGGGCGUUAAGUUGCAGGGUAUAGACCCGAAACCCGGUGAUCUAGCCAUGGGCAGGUUGAAGGUUGGGUAACACUAACUGGAGGACCGAACCGACUAAUGUUGAAAAAUUAGCGGAUGACUUGUGGCUGGGGGUGAAAGGCCAAUCAAACCGGGAGAUAGCUGGUUCUCCCCGAAAGCUAUUUAGGUAGCGCCUCGUGAAUUCAUCUCCGGGGGUAGAGCACUGUUUCGGCAAGGGGGUCAUCCCGACUUACCAACCCGAUGCAAACUGCGAAUACCGGAGAAUGUUAUCACGGGAGACACACGGCGGGUGCUAACGUCCGUCGUGAAGAGGGAAACAACCCAGACCGCCAGCUAAGGUCCCAAAGUCAUGGUUAAGUGGGAAACGAUGUGGGAAGGCCCAGACAGCCAGGAUGUUGGCUUAGAAGCAGCCAUCAUUUAAAGAAAGCGUAAUAGCUCACUGGUCGAGUCGGCCUGCGCGGAAGAUGUAACGGGGCUAAACCAUGCACCGAAGCUGCGGCAGCGACACUAUGUGUUGUUGGGUAGGGGAGCGUUCUGUAAGCCUGCGAAGGUGUGCUGUGAGGUAUGCUGGAGGUAUCAGAAGUGCGAAUGCUGACAUAAGUAACGAUAAAGCGGGUGAAAAGCCCGCUCGCCGGAAGACCAAGGGUUCCUGUCCAACGUUAAUCGGGGCAGGGUGAGUCGACCCCUAAGGCGAGGCCGAAAGGCGUAGUCGAUGGGAAACAGGUUAAUAUUCCUGUACUUGGUGUUACUGCGAAGGGGGGACGGAGAAGGCUAUGUUGGCCGGGCGACGGUUGUCCCGGUUUAAGCGUGUAGGCUGGUUUUCCAGGCAAAUCCGGAAAAUCAAGGCUGAGGCGUGAUGACGAGGCACUACGGUGCUGAAGCAACAAAUGCCCUGCUUCCAGGAAAAGCCUCUAAGCAUCAGGUAACAUCAAAUCGUACCCCAAACCGACACAGGUGGUCAGGUAGAGAAUACCAAGGCGCUUGAGAGAACUCGGGUGAAGGAACUAGGCAAAAUGGUGCCGUAACUUCGGGAGAAGGCACGCUGAUAUGUAGGUGAAGUCCCUCGCGGAUGGAGCUGAAAUCAGUCGAAGAUACCAGCUGGCUGCAACUGUUUAUUAAAAACACAGCACUGUGCAAACACGAAAGUGGACGUAUACGGUGUGACGCCUGCCCGGUGCCGGAAGGUUAAUUGAUGGGGUCAGCGCAAGCGAAGCUCUUGAUCGAAGCCCCGGUAAACGGCGGCCGUAACUAUAACGGUCCUAAGGUAGCGAAAUUCCUUGUCGGGUAAGUUCCGACCUGCACGAAUGGCGUAAUGAUGGCCAGGCUGUCUCCACCCGAGACUCAGUGAAAUUGAACUCGCUGUGAAGAUGCAGUGUACCCGCGGCAAGACGGAAAGACCCCGUGAACCUUUACUAUAGCUUGACACUGAACAUUGAGCCUUGAUGUGUAGGAUAGGUGGGAGGCUUUGAAGUGUGGACGCCAGUCUGCAUGGAGCCGACCUUGAAAUACCACCCUUUAAUGUUUGAUGUUCUAACGUGGACCCGUGAUCCGGGUUGCGGACAGUGUCUGGUGGGUAGUUUGACUGGGGCGGUCUCCUCCUAAAGAGUAACGGAGGAGCACGAAGGUUGGCUAAUCCUGGUCGGACAUCAGGAGGUUAGUGCAAUGGCAUAAGCCAGCUUGACUGCGAGCGUGACGGCGCGAGCAGGUGCGAAAGCAGGUCAUAGUGAUCCGGUGGUUCUGAAUGGAAGGGCCAUCGCUCAACGGAUAAAAGGUACUCCGGGGAUAACAGGCUGAUACCGCCCAAGAGUUCAUAUCGACGGCGGUGUUUGGCACCUCGAUGUCGGCUCAUCACAUCCUGGGGCUGAAGUAGGUCCCAAGGGUAUGGCUGUUCGCCAUUUAAAGUGGUACGCGAGCUGGGUUUAGAACGUCGUGAGACAGUUCGGUCCCUAUCUGCCGUGGGCGCUGGAGAACUGAGGGGGGCUGCUCCUAGUACGAGAGGACCGGAGUGGACGCAUCACUGGUGUUCGGGUUGUCAUGCCAAUGGCACUGCCCGGUAGCUAAAUGCGGAAGAGAUAAGUGCUGAAAGCAUCUAAGCACGAAACUUGCCCCGAGAUGAGUUCUCCCUGACUCCUUGAGAGUCCUGAAGGAACGUUGAAGACGACGACGUUGAUAGGCCGGGUGUGUAAGCGCAGCGAUGCGUUGAGCUAACCGGUACUAAUGAACCGUGAGGCUUAACCUU
rnacentral:rRNA from 1 species